rnacentral:rRNA from 1 species
CCUUUGGGUUGUAAACUCCUUUUCUCAGGGAAGAAGAACUGACGGUACCUGAGGAAUCAGCCUCGGCUAACUCCGUGCCAGCAGCCGCGGUAAUACGGAGGAGGCAAGCGUUAUCCGGAAUUAUUGGGCGUAAAGCGUUCGUAGGCGGCGUUUCAAGUCUGCUGUCAAAGGCCGAGGCUCAACUUCGGAAAGGCAGUGGAAACUGAAAAGCUAGAGGUCGGUAGGGGCAGAGGGAAUUCCCAGUGUAGCGGUGAAAUGCGUAGAUAUUGGGAAGAACACCGGUGGCGAAAGCGCUCUGCUGGGCCGAACCUGACGCUGAG